GUGCCAGCAGCCGCGGUAAUACGUAGGUGGCAAGCGUUGUCCGGAUUUAUUGGGCGUAAAGCGAGCGCAGGCGGUUUCUUAAGUCUGAUGUGAAAGCCCCCGGCUCAACCGGGGAGGGUCAUUGGAAACUGGGAGACUUGAGUGCAGAAGAGGAGAGUGGAAUUCCAUGUGUAGCGGUGAAAUGCGUAGAUAUAUGGAGGAACACCAGUGGCGAAGGCGGCUCUCUGGUCUGUAACUGACGCUGAGGCUCGAAAGCGUGGGGAGCGAACAGGAUUAGAUACCCUGGUAGUCCACGCCGUAAACGAUGAGUGCUAAGUGUUGGAGGGUUUCCGCCCUUCAGUGCUGCAGCAAACGCAUUAAGCACUCCGCCUGGGGAGUACGACCGCAAGGUUGAAACUCAAAGGAAUUGACGGGGGCCCGCACAAGCGGUGGAGCAUGUGGUUUAAUUCGAAGCAACGCGAAGAACCUUACCAGGUCUUGACAUCCUUUGACCACUCUAGAGAUAGAGCUUCCCCUUCGGGGGCAAAGUGACAGGUGGUGCAUGGUUGUCGUCAGCUCGUGUCGUGAGAUGUUGGGUUAAGUCCCGCAACGAGCGCAACCCUUAUUGUUAGUUGCCAUCAUUUAGUUGGGCACUCUAGCGAGACUGCCGGUGACAAA
rnacentral:rRNA from 1 species